AACGAACGCUGGCGGCAUGCCUAACACAUGCAAGUCGAACGAGACCUUCGGGUCUAGUGGCGCACGGGUGCGUAACGCGUGGGAACCUGCCCUUAGGUUCGGAAUAACUCCCCGAAAGGGGUGCUAAUACCGGAUAAUGUCUUCGGACCAAAGAUUUAUCGCCUUUGGAUGGGCCCGCGUUGGAUUAGCUAGUUGGUAGGGUAAAAGCCUACCAAGGCGACGAUCCAUAGCUGGUGUGAGAGGAUGAUCAGCCACACUGGGACUGAGACCCGGCCCAGACCCCUACGGGAGGCAGCAGUGGGGAAUAUUGGACGAUGGGCGAAAGCCUGAUCCAGCAAUGCCGCGUGAGUGAGGAAGGCCUUAGGGUUGUAAAGCUCUUUUACCCGGGAUGAUAAUGACAGUACCGGGAGAAUAAGCUCCGGCUAACUCCGUG
rnacentral:rRNA from 1 species